GAUGAACGCUGGCGGCGUGCCUAAUACAUGCAAGUCGAGCGAACGGACGAGAAGCUUGCUUCUCUGAUGUUAGCGGCGGACGGGUGAGUAACACGUGGAUAACCUACCUAUAAGACUGGGAUAACUUCGGGAAACCGGAGCUAAUACCGGAUAAUAUUUUGAACCGCAUGGUUCAAAAGUGAAAGACGGUCUUGCUGUCACUUAUAGAUGGAUCCGCGCUGCAUUAGCUAGUUGGUAAGGUAACGGCUUACCAAGGCAACGAUGCAUAGCCGACCUGAGAGGGUGAUCGGCCACACUGGAACUGAGACACGGUCCAGACUCCUACGGGAGGCAGCAGUAGGGAAUCUUCCGCAAUGGGCGAAAGCCUGACGGAGCAACGCCGCAUGAGUGAUGAAGGUCUUCGGAUCGUAAAACUCUGUUAUUAGGGAAGAACAUAUGUGUAAGUAACUGUGCACAUCUUGACGGUACCUAAUCAGCAAGCCACGGCUAACUACGUG
rnacentral:rRNA from 1 species